rnacentral:lncRNA from 1 species
UAAAGGAGACUCAAAGAGGACCCCCAAAAAGGUAUGCCAUUACUCAGCCUCUCAUGCUGAAUAAGAGUUUUGACUUGAGCAUCGGAGGAUCCUCAUCGGAGCAACCUCCGGUCAGAACUUUUUGUAGGUCACAACUCUGGGAGAUCUACUUCGCCAUCAAUUCUAACAUCCCAACACUGAGUGAAUUUUUGCACCAACAGAUUGAUGCUAGAGAAAAAAUUUUGACCCAUUCAGAGGAGCACAGAUCG